GACCAUCUUUUAAUCGAGAUUUUGCCUUCGGGUACAAUUGAGACAGGUGGUGCAUGGUUGUCGUCAGCUCGUGUCGUGAGAUGUUGGGUUAAGUCCCGCAACGAGCGCAACCCUUGUGUUUUAGUUGCAAACAGGUCAAGCUGUGCACUCUAGACAGACUGCCGUGGACAACACGGAGGAAGGUGGGGAUGACGUCAAAUCAUCAUGCCCCUUAUGAUCUGGGCUACACACGUGCUACAAUGGCCGGUACAACGGGCAGCGAAGGAGCGAUCCGGAGCGAAUCCUAAAAAGCCGGCCCCAGUUCGGAUUGCAGGCUGAAACUCGCCUACAUGAAGUUGGAGUUGCUAGUAAUCGCGAAUCAGAAUGUCGCGGUGAAUGCGUUCCCGGGUCUU
rnacentral:rRNA from 1 species